rnacentral:rRNA from 1 species
UUAAAUUGAAGAGUUUGAUCAUGGCUCAGUUUGAACGCCGGCGGCAGGCCUAACACAUGCCAGUCGAACGGUAACAGGCAGAAGCUUGCUUCUUUGCCGACGAGUGGCGGACGGGUGAGUAAU